CAGCAGCCCCGCGCUAAUGCGAAACGAUAGCAGCUCUCUUGGGAUUUCGGGACCAUCCGAUCGAACGAAGACGUCGGAUGUUUUUGUGGUGGGUGAGGAAAGUGUGAAAUUCUUGUGCACGCGUUCCAUGACUGCUGCUACUGCUGGCUGGUUUGUCGCAACAAAACUGCUCCCGUCGUCGUAGAAACGUGCGAAGCAAGGCGCAGGUUGUGCGAGUGCGCGAUUUGCCACCAAGUACCACUUGAAAACGCUGUUGACCAGACGAUUCCUCGUGCUGCUAGUGCUAGCAGCCACUGCAGGCACUGUCACAGGCAGUGUGUUGGUAAGGUCUGCAACCAAAUCACUCACGGAAAAUCACGCCCCCGCCCCCCCCCCCCCCCCCCCCCCUCAAGAUACAAGCCAGUCUUGUUGGCUGGCAGCGAAGAAGCUGGAUCCUUGGUUGUCGACUGCAAUGCAGCAGUAAGGGAUAACUCAUAAUAAGCAGUAUAGAAUGGGCAUGGAAGGCAUGCACUAUUAGGCUGCCAGCGGCACGUUUUGCAUGAUACAAUCCAUCGAUUCCCGAGGACCGAUUCCGUAGACAUCGUUGCGUCCAAGGCCAGUAUUGGAAGAUUGUAGUGAACAGAACAGAAGGCCCGUCCCGACGCUACUGACCAGUUGGAGACGCCGAAAACGACAGAACAGCAACGGUUCGGGAAACGCUGGUCCCCACUUACCACCUGGCCCGCCAGUGCCAGUGUUUGCUCUCGCUCACUCCCUAUCAUGUGCCGCGAGGUGAUUCGGCAGACGAGCGCGCGCACCGAUUCUUACACUGACGACAGCAAUAACCGCACGUUGAAUCAGACCGAACAGUAACAGCAGCACAAGAGGGUGCCAUCGCCGGUGAUCAGUGAGCUAGUAGCCGGUACAGAAGCCUCCAGCACGCGCCAGCAUCCUUUUUGAGCCCCAGGCACUAUUCGCUGCGUGCCAUCGCCAAAAACAGAAAAACCAAAACCAAUUGGGUUUACAUCUCAACCCCUCCCCCCCUCCCCCCUGUUCUUUUUGCGAAGGAAAAGUAUCGCAUCAUUCAACAUACUUCCAUCAUCCAGGCUAUGCACCGUGGCAGUCACUCUGUGAGCAAGUGUUAUCCUGUGGGCAAGUGUUUUUGGAGUGUGUGCGUGUGUGUGUAUGGCGUAGUGAAUAAGAGCAGCAAGUGUAGUAACCUAGUCUGUUAGCAAUUGUAAAAGCAUUAGCAGUGUAGUAGCCAAGUUUGUAAGCGUGUACCACACGGGAUUGAGUUGAUUUCAUUGGAACAUCCACGACGACGCACAGUGUGCGCGGGCGCCUGUGUGUGUGUGUUGCCAGAGAAGGAGAGAAAGAGAAAGAAAGAGAGAGAGAGAGAAAGAGAAGAGAGAGAGAGAAAGAGAGAGAAUCGUAAGGUGCAAGGAUAUCGCGGUCUAACGGCGCGUGAAU